UCCAGACUCCUACGGGAGGCAGCAGUGGGGGAUAUUGCACAAUGGGGGGAACCCUGAUGCAGCGACGCCGCGUGGGUGAAGGAGCGUUUCGGCGCGUAAAGCCCUAUCGGCAGGGAAGAAGGAGGACGGUACCUGACUAAGAAGCCCCGGCUAACUACGUGCCAGCAGCCGCGGUAAUACGUAGGGGGCAAGCGUUAUCCGGAUUUACUGGGUGUAAAGGGGGCGCAGACGGCGAUGCGAGCCAGGAGUGAAAGCCCGGGGCCCAACCCCGGGACUGCCCUUGGAACUGCGUGGCUGGAGUGCAGGAGGGGCAGGCGGAAUUCCUGGUGUAGCGGUGAAAUACGUAGAUAUCAGGAGGAACACCGGUGGCGAAGGCGGCCUGCUGGACUGCAACUGACGUUGAGGCCCGAAAGCGUGGGGAGCAGACAGGAUUAGAUACCCGCGUAGA
rnacentral:rRNA from 1 species